rnacentral:misc_RNA from 1 species
GAUGAAGAACGCAGCGAAAUGCGAUAAGUAAUGUGAAUUGCAGAAUUCAGUGAAUCAUCGAAUCUUUGAACGCACAUUGCGCCCUCUGGUAUUCCGGGGGGCAUGCCUGUUCGAGCGUCAUUAUAACCACUCAAGCUCUCGCUUGGUAUUGGGGUUCGCGGUUCCGCGGCCCCUAAAAUCAGUGGCGGUGCCUGUCGGCUCUACGCGUAGUAAUACUCCUCGCGAUUGAGUCCGGUAGGUCUACUUGCCAGCAACCCCCAAGUUUUACAGGUUGACCUCGGAUCAGGUAGGGAUACCCGCUGAACUUAAGCAUAUCAAUAAGCGGAGGA